AACGACUCUCGGCAACGGAUAUCUCGGCUCUCGCAUCGAUGAAGAACGCAGCGAAAUGCGAUACUUGGUGUGAAUUGCAGAAUCCCGCGAACCAUCGAGUCUUUGAACGCAAGUUGCGCCCAAAGCCUUYCGGCCGAGGGCACGUCUGCCUGGGUGUCACGC
rnacentral:rRNA from 1 species